CACGUGUUACAAUGGCAGGUACAGAGGGGUGCUACCGGGUGACCGGAUGCCGAUCUCGAAAACCUGUCCCAGUUCGGACUGGAGUCUGCAACCCGACUCCACGAAGUUGGAUUCGCUAGUAAUCGCGCAUCAGCCAUGGCGCGGUGAAUACGUUCCCGGGCCUUGUACACACCGCCCGUCAAGCCAUGGGAGCCGGGGGCGCCUGAAGUCCGGGACCGCGAGGACCGGCCUAAGGCGAAACUGGUGACUGGGGCUAAGUCGUAACAAGGUACC
rnacentral:rRNA from 1 species